UACGAGGGGUGCUAGCGUUGUUCGGAAUCAUUGGGCGUAAAGAGUAUGUAGGCGGCCAUAUAAGUCAGUUGUGAAAUCCCCGGGCUCAACCCGGGAAGUGCAAUUGAUACUGUAUGGCUUGAGUAUGGAAGAGGGUAGUGGAAUUCCAGGUGUAGUGGUGAAAUACGUAGAUAUCUGGAGGAAUACCGGUGGCGAAGGCGGCUACCUGGUCCUAUACUGACGCUGAGAUACGAAAGCAUGGGUAGCAAACAGG
rnacentral:rRNA from 1 species